UACGGAGGGUGCGAGCGUUGUUCGGAAUCACUGGGCGUAAAGCGCGUGUAGGCGGCCUCUUAAGUCUGAUGUGAAAGCCCGGGGCUUACCCCCGGAAGUGCAUUGGAAACUGGGAGGCUAGAGUACCGGAGAGGAAGGUGGAAUUCCUGGUGUAGCGGUGAAAUGCGUAGAUAUCAGGAGGAACACCGGUGGCGAAGGCGGCCUUCUGGACGGAUACUGACGCUGAGACGCGAAAGCGUGGGGAGCAAAC
rnacentral:rRNA from 1 species